GACGAACGCUGGCGGCGUGCCUAACACAUGCAAGUCGAGCGGAGAUAAGCGGAUGGUAACUGAAGUUUGUCUUAGCGGCGGACGGGUGAGUAACACGUGGGCAACCUGCCUUGGAGUGGGGGAUAACACCGGGAAAUCGGUGCUAAUACCGCAUAACAUACACAAACUGCAUGGUAAGUGUAUCAAAGGAGCAAUCCGCUUUUAAGAUGGGCCCCGGCUGAUUAGCUAAGUUGGUAAGGUAACGGCUUACCAAGGCGACGAUCAGUAGCCGACCUGAGAGGGUGACCGGCCACACUGGAACUGAGACACGGUCCAGACUCCUACGGGAGGCAGCAGUGGGGAAUAUUGCGCAAUGGGGGAACCCUGACGCAGCAACGCCGCGUGGAGGAAGAAGGUCUUCGGAUUUGGUAAACUCCUAGUCUUCUGGGACGAAGUAUGACGGUACCAGAGGAGGAAGCCAACGGCUAACUACGUG
rnacentral:rRNA from 1 species